CGUAGGGUGCAAGCGUUAAUCGGAAUUACUGGGCGUAAAGCGUGCGCAGGCGGUUAUGUAAGACAGGUGUGAAAUCCCCGGGCUUAACCUGGGAACUGCAUUUGUGACUGCAUAGCUAGAGUACGGUAGAGGGGGAUGGAAUUCCGCGUGUAGCAGUGAAAUGCGUAGAUAUGCGGAGGAACACCGAUGGCGAAGGCAAUCCCCUGGACCUGUACUGACGCUCAUGCACGAAAGCGUGGGGAGCAAACAGGAUUAGAUACCCUGGUAGUCCACGCCCUAAACGAUGUCAACUGGUUGUUGGUCCUUCACUGGAUCAGUAACGAAGCUAACGCGUGAAGUUGACCGCCUGGGGAGUACGGCCGCAAGGUUG
rnacentral:rRNA from 1 species